UGCAGCCUGCAGGCAACGCAUAGGGAUUACACAGCCGGAGGGUUACAGAGAACCAACCAGAGAACAGAGUGGAGAACCAACCAGAGAACAGAGUGGAGAACCAACCAGAAAACAGAGUGGAGAACCAACCAGAGAACAGAGUGGAGAACCAACCAGAAAACAGAGUGGAGAACCAACCAGAGAACAGAGUGGAGAACCAACCAGAAAACAGAGUGGAGAACCAACCAGAGAACAGAGUGGAGAACCAACCAGAAAACAGAGUGGAGAACCAAUCAGAGAACAGAGUGGAGAACCAACCAGAAAACAGAAUGAAGAACCAACCAGAGAACAGAGUGGAGAACCACCCAGAAAACAGAGUGGAGAACCAGAGAACAGAGUGGAGAACCAACCAGAGAACAGAGUGGAGAACCAACCAGAAAACAGAGUGGAGAACUAAUCAGAGAACAGAGUGGAGAACCAGAGAACAGAGUGGAGAACUAAUCAGAGAACAGAGUGGAGAACCAACCAGAGAACAGAGUGGAGAACUUAUCAGAGAACAGAGUGGAGAACUAAUCAGAGAACAGAGUGGAGAACCAGAGAACAGAGUGGAGAACUAAUCAGAGAACAGAGUGGAGAACCAGAGAACAGAGUGGAGAACCAACCAGAAAACAGAGUGGAGAACCAGAGAACAGAGUGGAGAACUAAUCAGAGAACAGAGUGGAGAACCAGAGAACAGAGUGGAGAACCAACCAGAGAACAGAGUGGAGAACUAAUCAGAGAACAGAGUGGAGAACCAGAGAACAGAGUGGAGAACCAACCAGAGAACAGAGUGGAGAACCAACCAGAGAACAAAGUGGAGAACUAAUCAGAGAACAGAGUGGAGAACCAGAGAACAGAGUGGAGAACCAACCAGAGAACAAAGUGGAGAACUAAUCAGAGAACAGAGUGGAGAACCAGAGAACAGAGUGGAGAACCAACCAGAAAACAGAGUGGAGAACCAGAGAACAAUGUGGAGAACUAAUCAGAGAACAGAGUGGAGAACCAGAGAACAGAGUGGAGAACCAACCAGAAAACAGAGUGGAGAACCAGAGAACAAUGUGGAGAACUAAUCAGAGAACAGAGUGGAGAACCAACCAGAGAACAGAGUGGAGAACUAAUCAGAGAACAGAGUGGAGAACCAGAGAACAGAGUGGAGAACCAACCAGAGAACAGAGUGGAGAACUAAUCAGAGAACAGAGUGGAGAACUUAUCAGAGAACAGAGUGGAGAACCAGAGAACAGAGUGGAGAACCAAAGAGAACAGAGUGGAGAACCAACCAGAGAACAGAGUGGAGAACCAGAGAACAGAGUGGAGAACCAACCAGAGAACAGAGUGGAGAACUAAUCAGAGAACAGAGUGGAGAACCAGAGAACAGAGUGGAGAACCAACCAGAGAACAGAGUGGAGAACCAACCAGAGAACAGAGUGGAGAACCAGAGAACAGAGUGGAGAACCAACCAGAAAACAGAGUGGAGAACCAGAGAACAAUGUGGAGAACUAAUCAGAGAACAGAGUGGAGAACCAGAGAACAGAGUGGAGAACCAACCAGAGAACAGAGUGGAGAACUAAUCAGAGAACAGAGUGGAGAACCAGAGAACAGAGUGGAGAACCAACCAGAGAACAAUGUGGAGAACUAAUCAGAGAACAGAGUGGAGAACCAGAGAACAGAGUGGAGAACUAAUCAGAGAACAGAGUGGAGAACCAGAGAACAGAGUGGAGAACUAAUCAGAGAACAGAGUGGAGAACAGAGUGGAGAACAGAGUGGAGAACCAGAGAACAGACAUAUGGGGACACUGAACCUGACUGUACACAGGGUUACAGGGACAUUGUCAGUUCAUGAGUCACCAGAUGGGUACUGGUUAUACAGGUUAAAUGUUACUGGUUAUACUGGUUACUACUGGUUACUACUGGUUACUACUGGUUAUACAGGUUAAAUGUUACUGGUUAUACUGGUUACUACUGGUUAUACAGGUUAAAUGUUACUGGUUAUACAGGUUAAAUGUUACUGGUUAUACUGGUUACUACUGGUUAUACAGGUUAAAUGUUACUGGUUAUACUGGUUAAAUAUUACUGGUUAUAGUGGUAAUAUUUGCUAUACUGGUGACAUCAGUGACACUGGUUACAUUACUGUAAUUGGUGAUACUGGUCAUACUAGUUAUAUGUAUGUUACUGGUAAUACUGGGUUGCUCCAAGCGGUCUCACCCUGCGGCGCCCUGGUCAGGUACGUCCAUGAAGCCCAUGUCGUGAUGUUGGGGGGCUCGGUUGUCGUGGCGAUGCUGGCUCUGGAAUCGGGGCAGGGUGGGCUGCUCCAUGCUGGACUGCUGCCUCAGCAGGGAACCUCUGGAGGAGGUGGAGCCUCCUCUGGGAGCUCCGCCUCCUCUGGAGCGAGGAGCUGAAAGAGAAUUAAAACUAUAAAGCAAUAGUUGCUGUGAUGAGGGCAGCCUGACAACUGAAACCGGAUCCUCUACCUGAGCUGUACUGGCCGGUGGGCGGAGCCUGGUUGCCCAUGUACCGACUCUUGCGGUUGUCCCUCCUCGUCGGUCCUACCGAUCAAACACACAGGAAGUGAGGCAGAGUACGCAGGAAGUUGUGCAUUUGUGGUGAGUCCAGUUAGAACCUACUGGAGUUUUUGGGCAGACCCGGUCCGAUGGAGACCUGCAGGACCUUCCCACUGGGCUUCAGGACGGCCUCGUCCCCCUGACCCGCCUGGAACUGGAUCUGUCUGGAACCUGAAGAGCUGAACGGACCCCAGCCGCCCUUCUUCACCUUAAACUCCAGACUGGAGGCGAGACCGACAGCAAGACAGAGAGACAGACAGAGAGAGACACAGACACAGAGAGAGAGACAGACACAGACAGAGAGAGAGACAGACAGACAGAGAGAGAGGGAUAGAGAGAGACAGACACAGACAGAGAGAGAGACAGACAGCAAGACAGAGAGACAGACACAGACAGACAGACACAGAGAGACAAACAGAGAGAAACACACAGAGAGACAGACACAGACAGAGAGACAGAGAGAAACAGACACAGAGAGACAGACACAGACAGAGAGGGAUAGAGAGAGACAGAGAGACAGACACAGAGAGAGACAGACACAGAGAGAGAGACAGACAGCAAGACAGAGAGACAGACACAGAGAGAGAAACAGACACAGACAGAGAGGGAUAGACACAGAGAGACAGACAGGGAGAGAGAGAGAGGGAGAGACACAGAGAGACAGACAGGGAGAGAGAGAGAGGGAUAGACACAGAGAGACAGACAGGGAGAGAGAGAGAGGGAUAGACACAGAGAGACAGACAGGGAGAGAGAGAGAGAGGGAUAGAGAGAGAAACAGACACAGAGAGACAGACACAGACAGAGAGAGAGGGAUAGAGAGAGACAGAGAGAGAGGGAUAGAGAGAGACAGACACAGAGGGACAGACAGAGAGAGAGGGACAGACAGAGAGAGAGGGACAGACAGAGAGAGAGAUAUUGAUUGGCAUUGACCGCAGCCAAUAGCAGCUACCGCUAUAUGCUAGCAUCAGCGUCGACCGUCCAGUGAACACAACCUCUAAGACCAACGGUGCCGGGCUAACAGCAGUUAGCGGUUAGCUACUGAUCAAUCUGUCAAUCAGGAAACUCUGUAAAUGACCUCGGUACUGUAACGUUAUUCCUUGUUGGUCUCGGAGGCUGUGUUCGAUCCCGGUCCGGCUGCUGAGUCCGGUUCUGUUGCACAGAAGAUACAAUAACAUGCAGUUAAUUAGCAGUUACCUACUUUAGCUAAAGCUAUCUGUCCAUCAGGAAACUCUGUGAAUCACAGAGAGUUGAACAGUUGAAACCAGGAAAUAUUUUCUCCACAAAAUCUGAUUCAGAAUUAAUAGCUCAUUACCUUGUGUUUUGCUAUAGCGAAAAAUGAUUGCUACAACUUGCUACAUAGUGAAAUGCUCAGAAGAGAGAAAGCAUUUGAUCGGACGAUAAAUUAGUAUACUGGAGGAUAGGAGACUUUGAAUUCAUAGAGACUUUAAAUCAAACAUUACAUGAAGGCAGCAGAGAGAAUAAAGUACUGACAGGUUGUUGAAUUUGAGCGGAAGUUUCUUCUCAGUUUUCUCCUGAUAACGUUUGACCAGCAGACUGAGGAACUCUGUUUUAAAGACGCUCUGAAGAACGCUGUCGUACUCCUCCUCGUGGAUGAUGAAGAAGUCGUCCUGCAGAGUACUGACAGAGAGACAGGUAGCGAAGUAAACAAAAUGAAACAAUUAAAGUACUUUUAACUCCUUCAUCUCUUCAGAUAGUUUUCUCCUCUAAUACAGGAAAUAAUGUAAGUGUCUCUACAUGUUCUGGUCCUGGUUCUAGUUCUUGAUCUGGUUCUGGUUCUAGACCAGUUUCUGGUGUACCUCAGGGAAACAGACUGGAUCUUGGUGAGUUCGAUCUUCCUCUUGAGAACCUCCUGGAUUUGGCCUUUAUCUGGACCCUGCUUCACCUUCUCUCGGCCAAUCAGGUAAAGGAACUUCGGGGUCAGGAUGAGGUCACGCUUCACGGUCUGUGGAACAGGAAGUUGAGACAAGAAGUGGAGACAGGAAGUGGAUGUCACUGACAGGUAGACUGUCAGAUCAGCUGUGGGUUGUUUUUACCCUGAAUCUUCGGUCGAAUUUCAUCACAACGUCGGCAAAGUCGAUCCUCUCUCGGCGGCCGACAAACUGUCUGAUCUCUGGGUGGUUGUCUGUCCCAAUGUAGUCGCCCACAAAGUUCCUGUUGAUGCUGUUCCUGCGGCGAUCCUUCUUGUUCAAAAGAACAUCUGAGGCUGGAAACAGAUUGAGGAAGACAUCACGUCCAAGACGCAAACAUGAGAAAGUGGUGCUUUCUUAGCGGGCGAUCACACAGACACGCAUCGCUUCAAGCCAGAGAGCUAACGUUAUGCUACGAGCCAGAGAGCUAAUGUUACGCACGUCUAAAAGCUGCUAGAAAAAUGCGUUGUACCGAUGCAUCUCUAUGUGAUCGUCCCUUUAUCUCACUCCUGGACAUCGGUCUUACCUUCCUCCCUCAUCUUGACGUACUUGCGGACGGCGAUGUGUUUACGCCAUGCCUUCUGAAUGACCCGAGCGUAACCGUUGUACUUCCUCUCCCUCAUCUCCUCCAACAGGAAGAGCUGCAGAGGAAAACUGAGUAAAUUGAGGGCUUCUGGGAACUGCAGUACCCAGAAUGCCACUGUACAGGAAAUUUCAGGAGCUUCUGAAAAUGCCCGUGAUAUAACCAUAGCAACGAAUGCUGAGGCUUAUGGGUACUCAUUCCGCAGACCUGAAACCAGACCGUACCCCUACAGUCUGUGGUUACGGGUUAGGAACUCUACUAACAGGAAACUUUACUUCUAAAGUUUACAGCUAGAUGAACCACUUCCUGAGUGUUUCGUACCGACUCUGGAGCUUUGAUGAAUAUUUUGUUCUUGCCCAGCUGGAACUGGUCCUGGUCCAUGUUGACAGAGUUGAGGAGGUGCAGGACUCCCUGGCGCUGCUCGCCCCUCCACUGAGGCCAGGUGUCCUUGGUCAGGAUGGCGUACCUGCAGCACAAAAUCUCUGUUAGCGUCUCUGAAGCAGCAGUACAGACUACAUGAUGUUACCCUGUUUGACCUCCUACCUCUGCAGGAACUUGUUGAAGACCCGUCUGUAGGCGUAUCCAGCCCGGCGGACUCUGAUGUUCUCUCGGAGGCCCAGGUACUCCACCUGGUGUCUGACCCGGUUCUCCUCCCAAUCCCGGGGACGUUUGGUCUCGUUGGGUUUGAUGCAGCGGAUGUAGUGAGGAGUGCACUUCAUCAGAGUCUGGACCAGACUGUUGGCUUGUUUCUAGAAGGGAGGGAGGACGGGCGGUUACCUCCCAGCUGUGAGACCCUGCAGGGUUUCAGUGUGUGAUCAUGUUUCUAUCUGUGGAGGCUGACGAAACCAGCAAUCAGAUGUUUUAGACUCUCUCAGUCUGUAAAUGUUGUGACUUGUUCCUACAAUAUAAAUUAUUACUGUGAAA